rnacentral:rRNA from 1 species
CCUACGGGAGGCAGCAGUGGGGAAUAUUGCGCAAUGGGCGAAAGCCUGACGCAGCGACGCCGCGUGAGGGAUGAAGGUCUUCGGAUCGUAAACCUCUGUCAGCAGGGAAGAACGGUCACUGUGCUAAUCAGCAGUGCAUUGACGGUACCUGCAAAGGAAGCACCGGCUAACUCCGUGCCAGCAGCCGCGGUAAUACGGAGGGUGCGAGCGUUAAUCGGAAUUACUGGGCGUAAAGCGCUCGUAGGCGGUAUGUCAAGUCAAGGGUGAAAUCCCCGCGCUCAACGUGGGAACUGCCGUUGAAACUGGCAAACUGGAGUGGGUGAGAGGAUAGUGGAAUUCCAGGUGUAGGAGUGAAAUCCGGAGAGAUCUGGAGGAACAUCAGUGGCGAAGGCGACUAUCUGGCACAUAACUGACGCUGAGGAGCGAAAGCGUGGGUAGCAAACAGGAUUAGAUACCCCUGUAGUC